GAUUUCUGGCGUGAUUCGCUUGGCCCGCCACGGUUUCGUGUGUGAGUGCCGGUGUGGAUCUGCCAUCCUUCCAGAGGACGGCCCUACCCUUCACUGGGCCGGGGCCGCAUCUUUGGAUCGUUUACUUUGAAAAAAUUAGAGUGUUUCAAGCAGGCGACUCGCUGUGAAUACAUUAGCAUGGAAUAAUAACUUAGGACUUCGGUUCUAUUUUGUUGGUUUCUAGGACUGAAGUAAUGAUUGAUAGGGAUAGUUGGGGGUGCUAGUAUUCAGUGGCCAGAGGUGAAAUUCUCGGAUUCACUGAAGACUAACUUAUGCGAAAGCAUU
rnacentral:rRNA from 1 species